rnacentral:rRNA from 1 species
UACGUAGGGUGCGAGCGUUGUCCGGAAUUAUUGGGCGUAAAGAGCUCGUAGGCGGUCUGUCGCGUCUGCUGUGAAAACUCGGGGCUUAACCCCGGGCCUGCAGUGGGUACGGGCAGACUAGAGUGCGGUAGGGGAGACUGGAAUUCCUGGUGUAGCGGUGAAAUGCGCAGAUAUCAGGAGGAACACCGGUGGCGAAGGCGGGUCUCUGGGCCGUAACUGACGCUGGGGAGCGAAAGCAUGGGGAGCGAACAGG